rnacentral:rRNA from 1 species
GCAAAACGCGAAGAACCUUACCCACCUUUGACAUGUACGGAAUCCUUUAGAGAUAGAGGAGUGCUCGAAAGAGAGCCGUAACACAGGUGCUGCAUGGCUGUCGUCAGCUCGUGUCGUGAGAUGUUGGGUUAAGUCCCGCAACGAGCGCAACCCUUGCCAUUAGUUGCUACAUUUAGUUGAGCACUCUAAUGGGACUGCCGGUGGCAAACCGGAGGAAGGUGGGGAUGACGUCAAGUCCUCAUGGCCCUUAUAGGUGGGGCUACACACGUCAUACAAUGGCUGGUACAAAGGGUUGCCAACCCGCGAGGGGGAGCUAAUCCCAUAAAGCCAGUCGUAGUCCGGAUCGCAGUCUGCAACUCGACUGCGUGAAGUCGGAAUCGCUAGUAAUCGUGGAUCAGAAUGUCACGGUGAAUACGUUCCCGGGUCUUGUACACACCG